rnacentral:rRNA from 1 species
GAUGGUUGUCGUCAGCUCGUGUCGUGAGAUGUUGGUUAAGUCCGCAACGAGCGCAACCCUCGACCUUAGUUGCCAGCAUUCAGUUGGGCACUCUAAGGUGACUGCCGGCUAAAAGUCGGAGGAAGGUGGGGAUGACGUCAAAUCAUCAUGCCCCUUAUGACCUGGGCUACACACGUGCUACAAUGGGCGGUACAAAGGGUCGCGAACCCGCGAGGGGGAGCCAAUCCCAAAAAGCCGCUCUCAGUUCGGAUUGCAGGCUGCAACUCGCCUGCAUGAAGCCGGAAUCGCUAGUAAUCGCGGAUCAGCAUGCCGCGGUGAAUACGUUCCCGGGCCUU